rnacentral:rRNA from 1 species
UACGUAGGGGGCAAGCGUUGUCCGGAUUUAUUGGGCGUAAAGAGCGUGUAGGCGGCCAGGUAGGUCCGUUGUGAAAACUCGAGGCUCAACCUCGAGACGCCGAUGGAAACCAUCUGGCUAGAGUCCGGAAGAGGAGAGUGGAAUUCCCGGUGUAGCGGUGAAAUGCGCAGAUAUCGGGAAGAACACCCGUGGCUAAGGCGGCUCUCUAGACGGUACUGAACGCUGAGACGCGAAAGCGUGGGGAGCGAACAGG